GACGAACGCUGGCGGCGUGCCUAAUACAUGCAAGUCGAACGCAGUGGGGACGGGUGAGUAACACGUGGGUAACCUCCCAUCAGAGGGGAUAACACUUGGAAACAGGUGCUAAACCGAUACUGAUGGAUGGACCCGCGGUGCAUUAGCUAGGUGGUGAGGUAACGGCUCACCAAGGCCACGAUGCCUAGGCUAGCUGAAGCGUAGAACGGCCACCAUGGGACUGAGGAACGGCCCAGACUCCUACGGGAGGCCGGAGUAGGGAAACGUCGGCAAUGGAGGAAAGUCUGAACGAAGAACGCCGGGGGAGAGAAGAAGGUUUUCGGAUCGUAAAGGUCUGUUGUGAGAGGAGCGGUACCUAACCAGAAAGGGCCGGCUAACUACGUGCCAGCCGCCGCGGUAAUAC
rnacentral:rRNA from 1 species